rnacentral:rRNA from 1 species
UACGGGAGGCAGCAGUGGGGAAUAUUGCACAAUGGGCGCAAGCCUGAUGCAGCCAUGCCGCGUGUAUGAAGAAGGCCUUCGGGUUGUAAAGUACUUUCAGUCGUGAGGAAGGUGUUAAGGUUAAUAACCUUAGCAAUUGACGUUAGCGACAGAAGAAGCACCGGCUAACUCCGUGCCAGCAGCCGCGGUAAUACGGAGGGUGCGAGCGUUAAUCGGAAUUACUGGGCGUAAAGGGCACGCAGGCGGUUAAUUAAGUUGGAUGUGAAAUCCCCGGGCUUAACCUGGGAAUGGCAUUCAAGACUGGUUAGCUAGAGUCUUGUAGAGGGGGUUAGAAUUCCAUGUGUAGCGGUGAAAUGCGUAGAGAUGUGGAGGAAUACCGGUGGCGAAGGCGGCCCCUGGGACAAAGACUGACGCUCAUGUGCGAAAGCGUGGGGAGCAAACG